AGGGUGAUAGUUAAAUUAACAUUUAAGUUGCAUUUAAAAAAUACUAAAAAUAGUUCACCUU
rnacentral:tRNA from 1 species